rnacentral:tRNA from 1 species
AGUAAAGUCAGCUAAUUAAGCUCUUGGGCCCAUACCCCAAAUAUGUUGGUCAAACCCUUCCUUUACUA